GUAGGUGGCGAGCGUUAUCCGGAAUUAUUGGGCGUAAAGAGGGAGCAGGCGGCACUAAGGGUCUGUGGUGAAAGAUCGAAGCUUAACUUCGGUAAGCCAUGGAAACCGUAGAGCUAGAGUGUGUGAGAGGAUCGUGGAAUUCCAUGUGUAGCGGUGAAAUGCGUAGAUAUAUGGAGGAACACCAGUGGCGAAGGCGACGAUCUGGCGCAUAACUGACGCUCAGUCCCGAAAGCGUGGGGAGCAAAUAGGAUUAGAUACCCUAGUAGCCCACGCCGUAAACGAUGAGUACUAAGUGUUGGGUGUCAAAGCUCAGUGCUGCAGUUAACGCAAUAAGUACUCCGCCUGAGUAGUACGUUCGCAAGAAUG
rnacentral:rRNA from 1 species